UAGAUGUUAUCACCUUUGGGACCAGCACUGCAAUUGGGUGGAGGGUCUAAAGUGAUGUCUGCCAGUUCCUUCUGAAUCCUGGAGUCGAGGAAGUGCGAGAGAGAGAAACACAA